rnacentral:lncRNA from 1 species
GAUUGCGAAAAUCCCAAAGUCACCCCUGCAAAUAAACAAAUAUGUGUUAGUUCGGUUCCAAUUACGUAUGAAUUGAUUACUAAAUUAAAAAAAAAAAAGAUUACAAAGACUUACAAUAUAGAUUGUCUUGCCGUCGUCGUAUCUCGUACGAUGGCUAGUUUGUCAUCCACAGUCAAGCCCGCAUGUCUAGCCAUCAUAGGAAUGAUCAUAGUCACCAGCUCUAAGAUCUGCUCGAGUUGUCCUGUGUCAGACAUGAAUGAUCGGGGUCGUACACAUAUAUCGUCGAAUCAGGGAACACGAUCUCCAGUGCAAUGCAGUGUUGAUUCGCGAUAACUGGAAUGUACAAAUGUGUACAACCCUCCCAUGUCUUUUCCGCAAUACUCGGUGACAGCUCGAUGACCCACUCGAGCAUAUACGCGAGAAGCACGUACUCGUUACCUAAAAGCUGGAGUGACUGAUACUCAAUGGUAACGACACGGAAGAACUCGGUGUUCAGUAUUAUGCGGCCAGGCUUGUGGAAUGAUUGUGGAUAUCUCUCAACUCGAUCGCGCAACAAGUCUAUGGCCAUGUCGAUGUGCUACAUCAAGGAAAACAAAGACAUAAAUACUUAUUUCAUUUACCAAAUUAAACAUAAUGUAUAUAAAAAGUAACAAUAACACUUCACUUACAUCGUCGGCGAGCCAAGCCUCCUGAGUGGUGACAUCAUGGAACCACUUUUAUACAUCCAAUAUCGUCUUUCCGGCUAUCAUGUGCGUGGCUCUGGAUAAAAUAGAAAAAAUAUUAAACAAAGCAUAUACGAGUUCUGGUAGUCUACUAAAUCAUAUAAUACUUACCCGGGCAACAUUUUUCGCCACUUAGCCUCAAAUGCUUUCCACUUGGCAUGGUCGACCUCUCGAAAUAGAUUGGGGUACAUCCCAUCGACGAACCUCCUUCUCUUCGCCUCAGCCGUGAAAGGAGAGACGACGUGCUGUGACGGCACUCUCGGCCUCUUGCCGACCGCCGUCUCCGACAUGUCAACAACAUGCUUUUCUACCUUAUACACUG